GAGUUUGAUUAUGGCUCAGGACAAACGCUGGCGGCAUGCCUAACACAUGCAAGCCGAACGGACAAGUUAGUGGAAGUUCUUCGGAAUGGAAACUAAUGCGUUAGUGGCGGAUGGGUGAGUAACGCGUGGAUAACCUACCUUUAAAUGGGGAAUAACUACGAGAAAUCGUAGCUAAUACCGCAUAAUAUCUCUAGUUUGCAUGAACUGGAGAAGAAAGGCGGCCUUCGUGCUGUCGUUUAGAGAUGGAUCCGCGUCUGAUUAGCUAGUUGGUGAGGUAGAGGCUUACCAAGGCGACGAUCAGUAGCCGGCCUGAGAGGGUGAACGGCCACAUUGGGACUGAGACACGGCCCAAACUCCUACGGGAGGCAGCAGUGGGGAAUCUUCCGCAAUGGGCGAAAGCCUGACGGAGCAAUGCCGCGUGAGUGAAGAAGGCCUUCGGGUUGUAAAACUCUGUCCUUAUCGAAGAGAGAGAAAGGUAGUAACUGACAUUUCUAGGACGGUAGAUNGGAGAGCC
rnacentral:rRNA from 1 species